UACGAAGGGGGCUAGCGUUGUUCGGAAUCACUGGGCGUAAAGCGCACGUAGGCGGACACUUAAGUCAGAGGUGAAAUCCCAAGGCUCAACCUUGGAACUGCCUUUGAUACUGGGUGUCUUGAGGUCGGAAGAGGUAAGUGGAACUGCGAGUGUAGAGGUGAAAUUCGUAGAUAUUCGCAAGAACACCAGUGGCGAAGGCGGCUUACUGGUCCGAUACUGACGCUGAGGUGCGAAAGCGUGGGGAGCAAACAGGG
rnacentral:rRNA from 1 species